rnacentral:rRNA from 1 species
GACGAACGCUGGCGGCGUGCCUAAUACAUGCAAGUAGGACGCAGUUGCGAACGGGUGCGUAACGCGUAGGUAACUACCUAUUAGAGGGGGAUAACUAUUGGAAACGAUAGCUAAUACCGCAUACUAGUAGAUGGACCUGCGUUGUAUUAGCUAGUAGGUAGGGUAAUGGACCACCUGGGCAACGAUACAUUGCCGACCUGAGGUGGUGGUCGGCCCAACUGGGAGUGAGCCACGGCCCAUACUCCUACGGGAGGAAGCCGGAGGGAAUCGUCGGCAAUGGGGGGAGCCCUGACCGAGCAACGCCGCGUGAGUGACGAAGGUUUUCGGAUCGGAAAGCUCUGUUGUUAAGGGAGCGGUACUGAACCAGAAGGGGACGGCUAACUACGUGCCAGCCGCCGCGGUAAUAC